CGAGCGAAGCGGGAAGAGCUCAAAUUUAUAAUCUGGCACCUUCGGUGUCCGAGUUGUAAUCUCUAGAAAUGUUUUCCGCGUUGGACCGCACACAAGUCUGUUGGAAUACAGCGGCAUAGUGGUGAGACCCCCGUAUAUGGUGCGGACGCCCAGCGCUUUGUGAUACAUUUUCGAAGAGUCGAGUUGUUUGGGAAUGCAGCUCAAAUUGGGUGGUAAAUUCCAUCUAAAGCUAAAUAUUGGCGAGAGACCGAUAGCGAACAAGUACCGUGAGGGAAAGAUGAAAAGCACUUUGGAAAGAGAGUUAACAGUACGUGAAAUUGUUGGAAGGGAAACGCUUGAAGUCAGACUUGCUUGCCGAGCAAUCGGUUUGCAGGCCAGCAUCAGUUUUCCGGGAUGGAUAAUGGUAGAGAGAAGGUAGCAGUUUCGGCUGUGUUAUAGCUCUCUGCUGGAUACAUCUUGGGGGACUGAGGAACGCAGUGUGCCUUUGGCGGGGGUUUCGACCUCUUCA
rnacentral:rRNA from 1 species